rnacentral:rRNA from 1 species
ACUGGGAACGUCUGGGGAGGACGUGCCGGUGGAUAAACCGGAGGAAGGCGGGGAUGACGUCAAGUCCUCAUGGCCCUUACAUCCCGGGCUACACACGUGCUACAAUGGCAGGUACAGAGGACUGCGAAGCCGCGAGGUGGAGCGAAUCCCAGAAAACCUGUCUCAGUCCGGAUUGAAGUCUGCAACUCGACUUCAUGAAGGCGGAAUCGCUAGUAACCGCGAAUCAGCAGGUCGCGGUGAAUACGUUCCCGGGCCUU